rnacentral:rRNA from 1 species
AUUGAACGCUAGCGGGAUGCCUUACACAUGCAAGUCGAACGGAGUGGCGAACGGGUGCGUAAUGUAUCGGAACGUGCCCCGUAGCGGGGGAUAACUACGCGAACGCGUAGCUAUUACCGCUUACUUUUGGUGCGGCCGAUACCGGAUUAGGUAGUUGGUGGGGUAACGGCUCACCAAGGCGACGCACCGUAGCUGGUUUGAGAGGACGACCAGCCACACUGGGACUGAGACACGGCCCAGACUCCUACGGGAGGCAGCAGUGGGGAAUUUUGGACAAUGGGGGAAACCCUGAUGCAGCCAUCCCGCGUGUGCGAUGAAGGCCUUCGGGUUGUAAAGCACUUUUGGCAGGAAAGCGGUACCUGCAGAAUAAGCACCGGCUAACUACGUGCCAGCAGCCGCGGUAAUUC